CUAUGACUCAUAAUUCACCCCCUUGUGUUAAGCAAGAACUUUUCCCAUGUGAGUGUUUAUAAAUUACAGUGUCUGGAAAGAUAACUUGACAAGUUAUCUUGACACACCUUAAAGCCAUACAUAGAAGCCAGGAUAGAUCAAGAAAAGGUGCACUGGGUUCUCUCUGCCCUUUCACAAAGGAAGUGACUCAAGAUACCUGAUAUACUCUCAACCCUCAGAAAAUGAACCUCUUUCCAUUCACUUGAUCCCACCAGUCACAAAGCACUGACUCUGUCAUGCACCAGAGGGGCAACAUGAAUAAGAAGUGUUUACACUCUGAAGGAGCCGACCCAACCAAAGUGAGAGAUUCAGACAUGGAACAGAACCCCAAGUCAUCAUGUAAAGAAGUCCAGGCUACCCUGAUAGAGAAGCCAAGAAGAGAGAAUCAAGAUGCCCCAGCCAAAAACCAGCACCAACAGGUUAAAAGGAACCCUCCACUGUCUUAAAGGUUGAAUGCAGCUACCUGAGUGAGUCUAGGCAAGACCAUCAGACCUGCUGGCCAAUCCACAGGAUCACAAGGAAUAAUAAAUAGUUAUUGUUUCAGACGUCCACAUGUGUCAUUGUGUGAGGUUGUUGGAGAAAACAUGUCGCAGCUGGGUACAUUCAUGAUGACCAGUUCAACAUGGGGCAAGGCUCGGCGUCUGCUGCUGGAGGCAUCCUCUGCUUUCAUAGCAUAAUCUUCAUGCAAUCACCAGUGAAGAGGGACUCGCAGCAUCAUAUGGUGAUAGUUUAAGUGCUUAAGAUAAUUUAUGUGUGAUUCUUAAUUGGUAUUUUGGGUCGUUUUUAUGGAGGUGAAAUUUGCAUAUAAUGAAAUGCACAGAUCUUAACAGUAUAAUUGAUUAUUUUGACAAAUGUACACAGGCCUGUGGAAACAAUCCCCAAAUUAAGUAGAGAACAUUUCUGUCACCCUAGAAAUUUCGCUCAUGCCCUCCAAUCAAGCCAUACCUCCACAGUCCUGAUUUCUAUUAUGGUAAAUUAGGUGGGUUUUUUUUCUUUUCUUGAACUACAUUUAGAAGGAAUCACACAAUAUAUACUUGUUUGUGUCUGCCUUCUUUCAUUCAACAUGUUUUUGAGACCCACCUAUGUUCUUACAUAGAUCCAUAUACAUCCUUUUUCAUUUCUGAGUAGUAUUCCAUUACGUGAAUAUGUCAUAUUUUGUGUAUCCAUUCACUUGUAGAUGGACUUAAGCCUCCAGUUUGGGGCUACUAUGGAAAAAGCUAUUACUCAUUUACAAGUCAUUGUAUAGAUAUAUGUUUUCAUUUCUUUUGGGUUAAAUGCCUAGGAAUGGAUUUUCUGGGUCAUAGGUAAGAUGAAUGUUUAAUCUUAUAAGAAACUUCCAAACAUUUUCCAAACCAGCCGGAACACUGCCACUGGCAAAG